CCGUGAUGAACUAACCGUCUGUCGCUGGGAAGAAGCUUAACUUGGGGGAAACUGCCACGAAAAUAAAACUUUAAUAUAAGUUUGCCUUUCUUUAAUUUUGUUAUUUUAGAAAUUUAAAUUAUUAAUUUAAUUUUUUCCUAGUCCCUUAUCCAAAAGAUGAGGAGCCGUAGUAGGUAGUUUUUAUUUAUAUAUUUUUAUUUAAGUAUAAAAAAUAAUAAUUUUUGCAUUUAAAAAACACUUAUAUUAAGAUAUUUAGUCACUGUUAACCCAUUUAAGUAACAUCUCAAAAGUCCAUAGCAAGGUAGAUUGUACUGGAA
rnacentral:rRNA from 1 species